rnacentral:rRNA from 1 species
UACGUAGGGGGCAAGCGUUGUCCGGAUUUAUUGGGCGUAAAGAGCGUGUAGGCGGCCAUACAGGUCAGCUGUGAAAACUCGAGGCUCAACCUCGAGACGUCGGUUGAAACCGUAUGGCUAGAGUCCGGAAGAGGAGAGUGGAAUUCCCGGUGUAGCGGUGAAAUGCGCAGAUAUUGGGAGGAACACCAGUGGUGAAGGCGGCCCCCUGGUUGGAUACUGACGCUGAGACGCGAAAGCGUGGGGAGCAAACAGG